rnacentral:rRNA from 1 species
GUAGGUGGCAAGCGUUGUCCGGAAUUAUUGGGCGUAAAGCGCGCGCAGGUGGUUCUUUAAGUCUGAUGUGAAAGCCCCCGGCUCAACCGGGGAGGGUCAUUGGAAACUGGGGAACUUGAGUGCAGGAGAGGAAAGUGGAAUUCCACGUGUAGCGGUGAAAUGCGUAGAUAUGUGGAGGAACACCAGUGGCGAAGGCGACUUUCUGGCCUGUAACUGACACUGAGGCGCGAAAGCGUGGGGAGCAAACAGGGAUUAGAUACCCUGGUAGUCCACGCCGUAAACGAUGAGUGCUAAGUGUUGGGGGGGCUUCCGCCCCCUCAGUGCUGCAGCUAACGCAUUAAGCACUCCGCCUGGGAGUACGGUCGCAAGACUG